GCACCACCUGAUCCCAUUCCGAACUCAGAAGUGAAACGCAGUAGCGCCGAUGGUAGUGUGGGAGUUCCCAUGUGAGAGUAGGACAUUGCUAGGC
rnacentral:rRNA from 3 species